CGCCCGGCGCGGCGGUGGCGCUCGCGGUGCUUUUCGGGGGCGCGGCGGAGGACGGGACCGUACGGCCCGGCCGUUCCGUACGGUCCCGGUCGGC
rnacentral:tRNA from 1 species